AACUAUGGCCGUACUACCCUGAACACGCCCGAUCUCAUCUGAUCUCNGAAGCUAAGCAGGGUUGGGCCUGGUUAGUACUUGGAUGGGAGAUUGCCUUGGAAUACCGGGUGCUGUAGGCU
rnacentral:rRNA from 1 species